rnacentral:tRNA from 1 species
GUUUUCGUGGUGUAACGGUAGCACACUCGGUGUGUAUUCGAGAGGUUCAGGUUCGAAUCCCGGCGAGAGCA